GCGAACGCUGGCGGCAGGCUUAACACAUGCAAGUCGAACGCGCGUAGCAAUACGCGAGUGGCGCACGGGUGAGUAACGCGUGGGUAUCUGUCCUAUGGUUCGGAAUAACUGCGGGAAACUGCAGCUAAUACCGAAUACGCCCGAAAGGGGAAAGAUUUAUCGCCAUUGGAGGAACCCGCGUCCGAUUAGCUAGUUGGUGAGGUAAUGGCUCACCAAGGCGACGAUCGGUAGCUGGUCUGAGAGGACGAUCAGCCACACUGGGACUGAGACACGGCCCAGACUCCUACGGGAGGCAGCAGUGGGGAAUAUUGGACAAUGGGGGCAACCCUGAUCCAGCCAUGCCGCGUGAGUGAUGAAGGCCUUCGGGUUGUAAAGCUCUUUUGGCGGGGACGAUGAUGACGGUACCCGCAGAAUAAGCCCCGGCUAACUUCGU
rnacentral:rRNA from 1 species